rnacentral:rRNA from 1 species
GACGAACGCUGGCGGCGUGCCUAAUACAUGCAAGUAGAACGCUGAAGGAGGAGCUUGCUUCUCCGGAUGAGUUGCGAACGGGUGAGUAACGCGUAGGUAACCUGCCUGGUAGCGGGGGAUAACUAUUGGAAACGAUAGCUAAUACCGCAUAAGAGUAGAUGUCGCAUGACAUUUGCUUAAAAGGUGCAACUGCACCACUACCAGAUGGACCUGCGUUGUAUUAGCUAGUUGGUGAGGUAACGGCUCACCAAGGCAACGAUACAUAGCCGACCUGAGAGGGUGAUCGGCCACACUGGGACUGAGACACGGCCCAGACGCCUACGGGAGGCAGCAGUAGGGAAUCUUCGGCAAUGGACGGAAGUCUGACCGAGCAACGCCGCGUGAGUGAAGAAGGUUGUCGGAUCGUAAAGCUCUGUUGUAAGAGAAGAACGAGUGUGAGAGUGGAAAGUUCACACUGUGACGGUAGCUGACCAGAAAGGGACGGCUAACUACGUG